UGAAGACGAAGGAGAAAUUCAGUCGAAGAAAAAGAAAAGAAAUGAAGCCGAUGAUGAACCAGAAGCCGGAAAUACCAAAAAGAAGAACAAAUCUAAGAAGAAAAUUGUUUCUGAUGUUGAAGAUGAAAAAGGAGAAAGUGAUAGCGACC